rnacentral:rRNA from 1 species
UAAGGGCGCACGGUGGAUGCCUUGGCACUAGAAGCCGAUGAAGGACGUUACUAACGACGAUAUGCUUUGGGGAGCUGUAAGUAAGCUUUGAUCCAGAGAUUUCCGAAUGGGGAAACCCAGCAUGAGUUAUGUCAUGUUAUCGAUAUGUGAAUACAUAGCAUAUCAGAAGGCACACCCGGAGAACUGAAACAUCUUAGUACCCGGAGGAAGAGAAAGAAAAUUCGAUUCCCUUAGUAGCGGCGAGCGAAACGGGAAGAGCCCAAACCAACAAGCUUGCUUGUUGGGGUUGUAGGACACUCUAUACGGAGUUACAAAGGACGACAUUAGACGAAUCAUCUGGAAAGAUGAAUCAAAGAAGGUAAUAAUCCUGUAGUCGAAAAUGUUGUCUCUCUUGAGUGGAUCCUGAGUACGACGGAGCACGUGAAAUUCCGUCGGAAUCUGGGAGGACCAUCUCCUAAGGCUAAAUACUCUCUAGUGACCGAUAGUGAACCAGUACCGUGAGGGAAAGGUGAAAAGCACCCCGGAAGGGGAGUGAAAUAGAACCUGAAACCGUGUGCUUACAAGUAGUCAGAGCCCGUUAAUGGGUGAUGGCGUGCCUUUUGUAGAAUGAACCGGCGAGUUACGAUUUGAUGCAAGGUUAAGCAGUAAAUGUGGAGCCGUAGCGAAAGCGAGUCUGAAUAGGGCGUUUAGUAUUUGGUCGUAGACCCGAAACCAGGUGAUCUACCCUUGGUCAGGUUGAAGUUCAGGUAACACUGAAUGGAGGACCGAACCGACUUACGUUGAAAAGUGAGCGGAUGAACUGAGGGUAGCGGAGAAAUUCCAAUCGAACCUGGAGAUAGCUGGUUCUCUCCGAAAUAGCUUUAGGGCUAGCCUCAAGUGAUGAUUAUUGGAGGUAGAGCACUGUUUGGACGAGGGGCCCCUCUCGGGUUACCGAAUUCAGACAAACUCCGAAUGCCAAUUAAUUUAAUUUGGGAGUCAGAACAUGGGUGAUAAGGUCCGUGUUCGAAAGGGAAACAGCCCAGACCACCAGCUAAGGUCCCAAAAUAUAUGUUAAGUGGAAAAGGAUGUGGCGUUGCCCAGACAACUAGGAUGUUGGCUUAGAAGCAGCCAUCAUUUAAAGAGUGCGUAAUAGCUCACUAGUCGAGUGACACUGCGCCGAAAAUGUACCGGGGCUAAACAUAUUACCGAAGCUGUGGAUUGUCCUUUGGACAAUGGUAGGAGAGCGUUCUAAGGGCAUUGAAGCAUGAUCGUAAGGACAUGUGGAGCGCUUAGAAGUGAGAAUGCCGGUGUGAGUAGCGAAAGACGGGUGAGAAUCCCGUCCACCGAUUGACUAAGGUUUCCAGAGGAAGGCUCGUCCGCUCUGGGUUAGUCGGGUCCUAAGCUGAGGCCGACAGGCGUAGGCGAUGGAUAACAGGUUGAUAUUCCUGUACCACCUAUAAUCGUUUUAAUCGAUGGGGGGACGCAGUAGGAUAGGCGAAGCGUGCGAUUGGAUUGCACGUCUAAGCAGUAAGGCUGAGUAUUAGGCAAAUCCGGUACUCGUUAAGGCUGAGCUGUGAUGGGGAGAAGACAUUGUGUCUUCGAGUCGUUGAUUUCACACUGCCGAGAAAAGCCUCUAGAUAGAAAAUAGGUGCCCGUACCGCAAACCGACACAGGUAGUCAAGAUGAGAAUUCUAAGGUGAGCGAGCGAACUCUCGUUAAGGAACUCGGCAAAAUG